AUUGAACGCUGGCGGCAUGCUUUACACAUGCAAGUCGAACGGUAACAGCACUUCGGUGGCUGACGAGUGGCGAACGGGUGAGUAAUACAUCGGAACGUGCCUAGUAGUGGGGGAUAACUACUCGAAAGAGUAGCUAAUACCGCAUGAGAUCUAAGGAUGAAAGCAGGGGACCUUCGGGCCUUGCGCUACUAGAGCGGCUGAUGGCAGAUUAGGUAGUUGGUGGGAUAAAAGCUUACCAAGCCGACGAUCUGUAGCUGGUCUGAGAGGACGACCAGCCACACUGGGACUGAGACACGGCCCAGACUCCUACGGGAGGCAGCAGUGGGGAAUUUUGGACAAUGGGCGCAAGCCUGAUCCAGCAAUGCCGCGUGCAGGAUGAAGGCCUUCGGGUUGUAAACUGCUUUUGUACGGAACGAAAAGCCCUCUUCUAAUACAGGAGGGUCAUGAAGGUACCGUAAGAAUAAGCACCGGCUAACUACGUG
rnacentral:rRNA from 1 species